rnacentral:lncRNA from 1 species
UCAAUUUCGUUAGUUUCCAACAAACAUUCUUUGUACAUAAGUACAAAGACAGGUUGCCUUGCCAACAACAAAUUUCGAAUCUCUCUUUUUCUAGCAAAAACACUUGUUUUUUCAUUUUCACACUCUUUUUUUUCUUUUGUCACUCUUGUUUUUAUCUCACUUUCGUCAUUCUUUUCUUUCUUUUUCUUUUCACUCUUUUUCUUAUUCUCUUUUUCUUUUUCUCGCUCAAUGGAUUGCUUCAUUUUG